rnacentral:misc_RNA from 1 species
UUCUUGGUGUUCGUAUAUAACGUAAACAGUGCGAUCCAAACACGCCUCAGUCUACGUUCCGCUUCGUACAGAGCCAGUUUAUCGUGCUCACUGUAACAAUGGCUCUAUUUCGCGCUAUAAUUAUUUUGGUCUGCUUAGGCUUAAUAGAGGCUAAAUUGUUGAAGUUAACAUGUAAGGAGAUUCAUCAGUUUGUCGACGGUCACAACUCGCGGCGACUGCAGGUGGCUAAGGGGGAGUUGAAGGACCAGCCCGCGGCCUCAGAAAUGAAGUCAGUGGUGUGGGAUAAAGAAUUAGCAACAAAGGCAGCCAGGUGGGCUUCACGCAACAAGUUUGAACAUAACCCAGACAAAACAAUCCCUUCGGGUAGGUUCAAGACGGGUGAGAAUCUGUACUUGUUCUCGACGACCGGCAAGGGCUACGUGUUCAAUCCGAACCCCAGCAUGGUCAAUUGGUUCGAGGAGCACCACCAGUGGACCUACAAUGAUCUGAAGACCAGUGACUUCAGGACUCCUAUGCCUAUUGGACACUAUACUCAGAUGGUGUGGUCUAACUCUACAUACAUCGGCUGCGGGGUGUCUGAGUUCCAGCAGAGCAAUUGGAUCAAGUACCUCGUCGUCUGUAACUAUGGACCUGCGGGCAAUAUCAUAGGUCACACGCCGUAUCCAGCGGGCAGAGGCACGGGGCAAUUGACUUGCGGCGCUAAGAACUGUAACCGACCUUAUGGAGGGUGCUAACGAUACCUCGAGUUAUUCUCAAGUGAUAUAUUUAUUAUACAGUUUGUUCGUAAUAAAAAUGACGGUGUGGAUCUCAGAUGAAUUUUUUCGCAGUUUAGACUUGAAGUCCAUUCGCAGGUAAUUUACAUUUACACGCUUCAUUUUCUGUAAUAUGUAGAUUACGUAAGCAUGAGCGGAGCUGGAGCGGGGGGGAUUCAUUACCUUCCCCUGGGCGGCAGGUUGGGUCAUGUGAAGCCACUUCAAUUUUAUCUAACUCUCUAUGGAGAUAUGUUGUCUGCGACCUGUUGAUCCCCCCCUCCAGAAUACAGAACUUUAUUAAUAACAUAUCGUUACAAGUCAAAUACAAAAAGAUAUACAGUGUCAAUAGGCAAAAACCCCGAUAUACCAAGGGUAUCUACACCCCCCGUGACAUAAAAGUUGGAUCCGCUGCUGAUCGUAAGAGAACCAACCAGAGUAUUUUGACAGCCAUCAUCCACACCGUUGUUUACGAAAUAAGUAUUAUAUUAGAUACUAGAAUUUUAAAAUUCUGUUUAACCAAAGCAAAGUUUAUUUAUUACUAUAUCAAUAGAUAGCUACAUAUCAGAUAAUUAUUAUGUACUUAAUUAUUUUAUAA